rnacentral:rRNA from 1 species
GACGAACGCUGGCGGCGUGCUUAACACAUGCAAGUCGAACGGGAACCUUUAUUUCGGUAAAGGUGAGAGUGGCAAACGGGUGAGUAACACGUAGGCAACCUGCCGACAGGAUGGGGACAACAUUCCGAAAGGAAUGCUAAUACCGAAUGAAGUCACCGGAGGGCAUCCUCUGGUGAUGAAAGAUGGCCUCUGAAUAUGCUAUCACCUGUCGAUGGGCCUGCGUCUGAUUAGCCAGUUGGCGGGGUAACGGCCCACCAAAGCGACGAUCAGUAGCCGGUCUGAGAGGAUGAACGGCCACAUUGGGACUGAGACACGGCCCAGACUCCUACGGGAGGCAGCAGUGGGGAAUCUUCCACAAUGGGCGAAAGCCUGAUGGAGCAACGCCGCGUGAGUGAAGAAGGUCUUCGGAUCGUAAAGCUCUGUUGCACGGGACGAAAACCGAGCUUGAAAACAUUGAGUUUGGGGACG